GGAUAAUGUUUAAUAUUCCUCAUUUCAUUUAAUUUCAUUUCAUUUCAUCACACUUAACAUUUAUGGUUCAUCAUCAAUCUGCAGUAAAACAAACCCAUGUCUUUGUGUUUGAUAUAAACCAUUCUUAUUCACAUGCUCGCAUUUAAUACACAUUCUGCAACCAAGACAUCCUUGAUGUUACACUUUGUGUUUACAACCUCAGAACUGUUUUCCAGGCACCAGGGGACCGUCUUCAGUCCCCACUCCCCCACUUUUUUGAUUUUUUUUGCAUUUCCUUUUAUGGUUGUCUUUAGGCAACAGGCUAGUGACAGAGCAGAGAGCAAAAGAACAGCUGAAGAACAGAGAUGUGGCCUCUGCACUCAGGGAAGAACAGGGGGAGAACAGCUUUUUCAAACAAGGAAUGAUGCUGUGUAUUUACCUCCACUGGGAGAGAAGCCAUCCGAACGCUAACUCCGGAUUAGCGGUGGGGCACUGUCAGCCCUGCUUCACCCAGCUGCACAUCAACACUUAUUUGGCACAGUCAGAGUGAAGACCAGAGGAGGCAUCUUCUCUCUCUCCCGCUCUCCCUCUCUCUCUCUCUCUCUCUCUCUCUCUCUCUCUCUCUCUCUCUCUCUCCACUGGCAUAAACAAAAUGACAAGCCUCUUUGCUAAGCAAGAGUAAAGUAUCUCAGAGGUGUGCUCUAAAGUGAGGGCUGUGUCAGCCAGGAGGAUUCUAGUGGUCACACAGCACCAAUUUAUGCUCUUAAGUGGCUCACGAUGAGAAAGAAAUCCUUUAAUGCCAGGAAUAAAACAUGGUAUUUUUAUAUUUGCAGUAGGAAGCGUUUAAAUCCACUAAACUAAAAGCAAAGUUUACUGAACCUAAACCAUGUAUAAUCCAUGAAAGAAGAAUUUAUAUCAUUAAAGGAGGUGUGAGCGCUCAGAAGUUCUUGGUAAAUGUCUCAAUUAAAUGGUUGAAAGUGAGGUUUGUCUUUGUAACAAAGUCUUGUGUCUGUUGUACCAAUGGCAGAACAGCUUGUGGUAAUGAAUCUUGCAAGUAUGUCAAGCCCACCAAAUGUAUCUUUCUCUGGCCCUCAUUUGGAAACCAGAGAGGUCUAUUACUCUGUGGAGGAAAUCAUGCAUAUAAAAAAUAUCUGAUAUCCUGCCCUUUGCUUUCAAAGAUUAUUUGAUUGCAAGCAAAGGUCUAUUGAGUGUUUUCCUAAUCAGUGUUUUUGUGUCAGACUAAGAAAGUAUUUAUGAACCGCUGGACUGGAGUGCUCUCUAACAUUUAGCCAGAGGAAAGUGUCUUGAUAUGAUUCGAAAGUGCGAGUAUCCUUACCAAGGGAAUACAGUCUAUCACAACCAUUUCGUAUCUUUGUAAAUGAAUUAAGACAACUCAUAGAGGGUUAAUUAGAGGCACUCUUGUCUAUUUGUGAAGUGCAAUAUUAAUGCUCUUCACAACCAGACAGCUUUUUACUGUCAAUUUACAUCAUGAACUUCCUCCCCACGGAAUCCCUGAUAAAUCCAUUAAGGAAAUCCAAGAAGAAAGUCAUACUGUAUGAUUGCGUUCACCAUACAGAUUACAGAUGUAACUACAUAUAGGUAUUUUUUUUAAAAUAUAAGUACAAUGCAAAAACAUGUAUGUACACAGUAGGUGCGUUGUAUUAAAUUAUUAAUUUAAAUCUAAGUACAUAGUAGUUACAUAGGGACCUUAUUUGUUUCCUUUUAUGGAGUGUUUUUUUUUUUUGCACUGUAAAAUAUUACAUAAUUUACAUUUAAUGAUUUAACUGAUACUUUAAAAAGGAGCACACAAUAAUAAAUGUUUUUUUUUUUUUACUGAUGUGAAUAAACAUUAACUUUCUAUAAAAUUUCUUUCAGUGAAAAACAAAUGCAACUUAUUGAACUUUUUGUCAGUAGGCCUAACGUUUUUUUUUGUUUGUUUGUUUGUUUUUUGGUAAACUUUGUGUUGCAACUAUAUACACAAACUAUUUUAAUCGUAAAAAGUCCUGUACAAUAUCUCAAAAUAAAUAAGAGAUACUGUUUUUCAGAAGUAAUAUGAAAGGAAUGAAAAUCCUGUCAUUUACUCACCCUCAUGUCCCUCCAAACUCAUAUGAUUUUUCAUCCAUGAAACAAAAGUAUGAGGGAUGAGAGAAUGAUGAUUGUAACUGUCAAGCUCCAAAAAGCACAUAAAGUACCAUAACUGUAGUCCAUUUGAUUCGUGAGCUAUAUUUCAAGUCAUUUGAUUGAUUUGGUAAAAAAAAAAAAAAAACGGACAAAAAUUAAAGCUGUUAUUCAAUCAAAAUCUUGCCAUUCCUUAUGAAUCUGAUGCAUGUUUGUUUGUUUGUUUAUUUUAGCACAGCGCAGUAAGCUUGCGCCCGACACCAUUAGAGGAAAAGAUUUGCGAAAAUUAAUC
ensembl:lncRNA